GAUGCCUCUUUAAGUCUCUUCCAAAUCCUUUCUGCUUUAUCCCAGGUUAGGGAGUACUUCCCCAGCCCUAAACUUCAGGCUCGUCUGUCUUUCCUGCCCUCUCUCCCAUUUCUGUGUCAUGGCCAGAGCUCUUUCUCUAAGAGCCCUUGUUCUUCAAUUAAUAACAGUGAGUCUGCAUUACUAAUUUCCAUGUACUAUUCCUCACUUGCUAAAAACUUUCUUGCUUACUUUUCCUAGAGCUUCAAUAGGAU
rnacentral:lncRNA from 1 species